UACGUAGGGUGCGAGCGUUAAUCGGAAUUACUGGGCGUAAAGCGUGCGCAGGCGGUCUUUUAAGUCAGAUGUGAAAUCCCCGGGCUUAACCUGGGGACUGCGUUUGAAACUGGAAGGCUAGAGUGUGGCAGAGGGGGGUGGAAUUCCACGUGUAGCAGUGAAAUGCGUAGAGAUGUGGAGGAACACCGAUGGCGAAGGCAGCCCCCUGGGCUAACACUGACGCUCAUGCACGAAAGCGUGGGGAGCAAACAGG
rnacentral:rRNA from 1 species